rnacentral:misc_RNA from 1 species
CUCUACAUGGCAGAACUCCUGUGCAUUGGCGUGGCAGACUGUCAUGGGGCCGCCUCCUAAGCGUCCCUCCCUUGUUCUACAUGGGAGGGAAGAGGAUACUCGGCUUUGUCUGUGCGGUUCUAUCCGAGUUGGGAAACAUGAUCGGUUUCAUGAUGGAUUUUUUGGCUUGCCCCGUAGAUAAUUUUAUUACUUACAGGGCAGCCGAAUUGUUGGUGAAACCCUUGUGCAACCCAUGGCAUUUUUUUGUCGUGGCUCUGUAUGCGGGUGUUGUCGGCUCUUGCGUUUGCGGUAUCCGCGAUAAGUUCUGUAGGCCACUGGUCCGCAGGCUUUGAAAGGUCCCAUCUACAGAUCAUCGGUCUGUCGAUUGCCCGUCUUGUUGGUUAUGCCUUCAUUUCGGAUCGUCGUGUGGGUUGCCUUUCUGUCCGAAUGAGCAGCGAUUGUCGGCUAGUGUUGCUAGAUGGGCUUCCCUUGCGGGGUGUUCCGGAAACAAUGUGCCGACUCUCGUUUAAGACGUGC